rnacentral:misc_RNA from 1 species
GGAAGGAUCAUUGAAUCGAUCGAAUCCACUUUGGUAACCAACCGUCCCCUCGCCCUGGUGCGAGCGUCGGUCCCCUGGCUGGGGUCUUCUGACCGCAGUUCAGGUCCGGCGGGCUUUGCUCCCUCGGGUGUCCCUUCGGGGCCCCAUGGGUUGCAGAGUCGGUAAUUUAUAUUCAACUCAACCCACCCCAAACCUAAAUCAUAACUAAAGCUAAUUAGUGUGUGCAUCUCGGUGCCUCACUCUAACCAAAGACAACUCUCAACAACGGAUAUCUUGGCUCCCGUAUCGAUGAAGAACGCAGCGAAAUGCGAUACGUAGUGUGAAUUGCAGAAUUCCGUGAACCAUCGAAUCUUUGAACGCAAAUUGCGCCCGAGGCUUCGGCCGAGGGCAUGUCUGCCUCAGCGUCGGCUUACACCCUCGCUCUCCCUCUCCUUUGGAUUGGAUAGAGCGGAUCUGGCCUUCCCGGCUCCUCUUCGAUUCGUCGUUGAGUCCGGGUCGGUUGAAGUGUAGAGGCUUGAGCAUGGACCCCGUUUGUAGGGCAAUGACUUGGUAGGUAGCAUCGCUACACAGCCUGUCGUUGUCCGAGGGGACUUUGCUGGCGGCCUAGCAGGAAUUCGGGGUGGUUCUGCCACCCUGAAUGUCUCACAAAUUCGACCUGAGCUCAGGCAAGACUACCCGCUGAACUUAAGCAUAUCAAUAAGCGGAGGAAAAGAAACUAACUAGGAUGCCCUUAGUAACGGCGAGCGAACCGGGCAAAGCCCAACUUGAAAAUCUCCAGCCUCCGGCUGGCGAAUUGUAGUCUAUAGAAGUGCUUUCUGCCUCAGUCCGGCCCCAAGUCCCCUGGAAAGGGGCGUCAGAGAGGGUGAGAACCCCGUUGGGACCGGAUCCUGAGGCUCCACGAAACGCUUUCGAAGAGUCGGGUUGCUUGGGAAUGCAGCCCAAAGAAGGUGGUAAAUCCCAUCUAAGGCUAAAUACAGACGGGAGACCGAUAGCGAACAAGUACCGUGAGGGAAAGAUGAAAAGAACUUUGAAAAGAGAGUUAAAAAGUGCUUGAAAUUGUUGAGAGGGAAGUGAUUAGAUCGUACGGGUGCGCCCAGGCACACGCCUGCCUAACGGUUGGCUGAAUGCGCUGGGUGCUGGUCAGCAUGGGUUGACCGGGCGGGACAAACCCGGGGAUUGUUACCCCGGCUAUGUCGCCUGGUCGAUCGAGGAAAGAAUGGCGCUCUCUGAGUCCUUCGGGAACUGCGUCAUCAAGAUGCUGGCGGAAACGUUCUAAUCAGCCCGUCUUGAAACACGGACCAAGGAGUCUAACAUGCAUGCGAGCUGGUGGGUGGCAAACCCAUGAAGCGUAAGUAACCUGACUGGUGGGAGGGCCUGUGCCUGCACCAUCGACCGACCAUGAUCUUCUGUGAAAGGUUCGAGUACGAGCAUGCCUGUUGGGACCCGAAAGAUGGUGAACUAUGCCUGAGCAGGGCGAAGCCAGAGGAAACUCUGGUGGAGGCUCGUAGAUGUGCUGACGUGCAAAUCGCUUUUCGGACUUGGGUAUAGGGGCGAAAGACUAAUCGAACCAUCUAGUAGCUGGUUCCCUC